rnacentral:ncRNA from 5 species
AACCUGCGGAAGGAUCA